rnacentral:rRNA from 1 species
UACAGAGGGGGCAAGCGUUGUUCGGAAUUACUGGGCGUAAAGGGCGCGUAGGCGGCCUUCUAAGUCGAACGUGAAAUCCCUGGGCUCAACCCAGGAACUGCGUCCGAUACUGGGAGGCUUGAAUCCGGGAGAGGGAUGUGGAAUUCCAGGUGUAGCGGUGAAAUGCGCAGAUAUCCGGAGGAACACCGGUGGCGAAGGCGGCUUCCUGGACCGACACUGACGCUGAGGCGCGAAAGCUAGGGGAGCAAACGGG